CCUUCGGGUUGUAAACCUCUUUCAGCAGGGAAGAAGCGAAAGUGACGGUACCUGCAGAAGAAGCGCCGGCUAACUACGUGCCAGCAGCCGCGGUAAUACGUAGGGCGCAAGCGUUGUCCGGAAUUAUUGGGCGUAAAGAGCUCGUAGGCGGCUUGUCACGUCGGUUGUGAAAGCCCGGGGCUUAACCCCGGGUCUGCAGUCGAUACGGGCAGGCUAGAGUUCGGUAGGGGAGAUCGGAAUUCCUGGUGUAGCGGUGAAAUGCGCAGAUAUCAGGAGGAACACCGGUGGCGAAGGCGGAUUUCUGGGCCGAUACUGACGCUGAGGAGCGAAAGCGUGGGGAGCGAACAGGAUUAGAUACCCUGGUAGUCCACGCCGUAAACGGUGGGCACUAGGUGUGGGCAACAUUCCACGUUGUCCGUGCCGCAGCUAACGCAUUAAGUGCCCCGCCUGGGGAGUACGGCCGCAAGGCUAAAACUCAAAGGAAUUGACGGGGGCCCGCACAAGCGGCGGAGCAUGUGGCUUAAUUCGACGCAACGCGAAGAACCUUACCAAGGCUUGACAUACACCGGAAAACCCUGGAGACAGGGUCCCCCUUGUGGUCGGUGUACAGGUGGUGCAUGGCUGUC
rnacentral:rRNA from 1 species